rnacentral:snoRNA from 1 species
ACCCCCUGGCAGUGGGCAAGGAGACACCUGAUUGGUGGUUUGCUCUUAUAUCAAUCAGGGGCCAAGCAGAUAUACAGUCCUUAGUUCAUCUUAGCUUGAUGCCUGUGUUGGUGGCCAGAGCUGUUUCAUGUCUGAGGCACAUAU